GGGGGGCCGAGUAGGGAGGGAGCCCGGCGAGGGAGGAGCUGGAGGAGGGAGUGAGGGGGAGCGGCGGGCGCGGGAAGGGGAGCGCGGAGAAGGAGCCGCAGGACGCUGGGAGGGGCGGAGGCAGGUGCGGGAUCGCGAGGGCGCGAGCGGGAAGGGCCCGGCGGCGGGGCGGGCUGCCCCGGAGCUCGGCGGGGGUCGCGGCGGAGACAAGGCGGCCGCGGCGGGGAGAUGCCGCGCGAGGAAGUGGAUCGGGCGGGUACGCCGGGUGUGCGCACCUGCGCGCCGGGCAGCGGGGACCAGUGUGCUAGCCCAGGGAUGUUCUUCUCAUGGCAAUGACGGAGUGCAAGCAGACACAUGCACAGCCUCUAGAGGACUACAUUUGGCACCAGCUUACUGUCACUUUUGCCUCAUUCUGUUGACCACAGUGAGUCCAUGCUGAACCCAGAAUCAAGGGACAAAAAAAUAUACUCCUUUUGAUGGGGGCAGGGAGAGGUGGCACAGGGCAGUAGAAGCAUCGAGCUGAGCUGAGAGGGACACCAAACUGCCAUGUGAACUUGGGCAAGUCACCUACCUCUCUGUCACUCAUGUGACAGUCACGUGACAUUGGUGCUGUUGUUUGCAUUUUCCACAUGAAAAAACUGAGUGCGGCCAGGUGUGGUGGCUCACACCUGUAAUCCCAGCACUUUGGGAGGUCGAGGUGGGUGGAUCACUUGAGGUCAGGAGUUUGAGACCAGCCUGACCAACAUGGUGAAACCCUGUCUCUACUAAAAAUACAAAAAUUAGCCAGGCGUGAUGGUGUGUGUCUGUAGUCCCAGCUACUUGGGAGGCUGAGGCAGGAGAAUCGCUUGAACCCGGGAGGUGGAGGUUGCAGUGAGCCAAGAUCGCACCAUUGCACUCCAGGCUGGGAGACAGAGCAAGACUCUGUCUCAAAAAAGGAAAGGAAAGGAAAGGAAGAAGAAAAGGAAGAAGGAAGAAUGGAAGGGAAGGGAAGGGAAGGAAAGGAAAAGGACUGGGUGCAAAGAGGUUCAGUGAUGACUCCAAGUUCUCCCUGUAAUCAGUGGAGCUGGUGCCUGAGGCUCUUAGGCAGUUAACCACUAUUUUUUGGGGGGCGGGAGGGCAAAACUUCCAGAAAAGCAAAAGUACCCCAAACACAAGUGUGCAGCCUGAUGAAUUUUCACAAAGUGAACCCAGCAGCUCAAGAAACAGAACAUGACCUGCACUCAGAAGCCCCCCUUAUAUUCUCACGGGAAACACAAUAGCCUGACUUCCCUCAGUGUAAGUCAGUUUUGCCUGUUUUUGAACUUUAUGAAGUUUAAAUCACACAUGACGCCCAGCUUCUUCUGUUUAACAUUAUGUCUAUUAGAUUCAUCCAUCUGUUUGUGUGUAGCUGGAAACCAUUCUCAUUGAUGAAGAGUGAUUCUUAUAAUCACUCUCUCUUAUAUGAUUAUGUCACAAUUAUUUAUUCAUUCUACUGUUUGUUGUAGUAGUUAUUUUUUAGAAACAGGGUCUUGCUCUGUCACCCAGGCUGGGAGUGCAGUGGCACUAUUAGAGCUCACUGUAACCUCAAACUCUUGGGCUCAAAAGAUCCUCUUGCCCCAGCCUCCCAAGUAGCUGGGACUACAGGUGGGGGUGCUGUCAUAUCUGGCUUUUUUUUUUUUUUUUGGUACAUGAGUGUUCACAGCCACUUUAUUUGUAAUAGCCCAUCAAGUAAAUGGAUAAACACAUUUUGGUGUAUCCAUACAAUGGAAUACUAUUCAGUAAUAAAAGAGAACAUGCAAUAACAUGGAUGAAACUCAAAACAGUUACGCCGAAUGAAAAAAGCCAGGCAAAAAUGAGUAGAUCUCUGAUUUUACUUAUGUAAAAUUAUGUAAAAUGAAAACCAAUCCACACUGAUGGUAUUAGUGUGUUCUCAAGCUGUUAAUAAAGACAUGCCCAGUGAGACUGGGUAAUUUAUAAAGAAAGAGGCUGAAUUGACUCACAGUUCCACAUGGCUGGGGAGGCCUAACAAUCAUGGUAAAAGGUGAAGGAGGAGCAAAGUCAUGUCUUACAUGGCAGCAGGCAAGCGCUAAUAUUCUUUAACUUUUUUUUCUAGAGACUGGGUCUCCCUGUGUUGCCCAGGCUGGUCUCAAACUCCUAACCUCAAGCAGCCCUUCUGCCUCGGCCUCCCAAAGUGCUGAGAUUAUAGGUGUGAGCCACUGUGCCUGGCCCUAUUCUACUGUAGACGCUUGUUUAGGUAGUUUGCAGUUUGGGGUUGUUAUGAAUAGUGCUGCUAUGAACAAUUCUUGCAUGUAUCUUUUGGUGGAUGUACAUACAUGUUUUUCUUGGGUGUACAGCUAGGAAUGGAAGUACUGGGCUGGGAAUUUGGCGAACUUUUAUUUUCUGUGUUUCACAGAGGUGUUUGUUUGUUUGUUUAAGAUAGGGGCUCACUCUGUCGCCCAGGCUAGAGUGCAGUGGCACCAUCAUAGCUCACUGUAACCUCAAACUCUUGGGCUCAAGCAGUUCUCCCACCUCAGCCCCCCAAAUAGUUAAGACUACAGAUGCAUGCCACCAUGCCUGGCUAAUUGUUAAAUAUUUUGGAGAGAUGAGGUCUCGCUAUGUUACUCAUGCUGAUCUCAAACUCCUGGCCUCAAGUGAUCUCACCUCAUCCUCCCAAAGCACUGGGAUUACAGGCAUGAGCCACUAUGCCCUGCCCAUUUUCCAGAUUUUAUGAUUAGAGAAACUGAGGUGCAAGACUGAUUUGUUCACACCUCAAGAUACUGAUUAGAUUUUAAAACUGGCAUUCAGAUAUAGGUAGAAAGAGAGAGCAUGAAAUGGGGGAGAUGCAUACACAUACACACACACCCAUACCCAUGUUAAAACUUUCCAGAUUCGGCUGGGCAUGGUGGCUCAUGCCUGUAAUCCCAGCACUUUGGGAGGCCAAGGUGGGUGGAUCACCUGAGGUCAGUAGUUUGAGACCAGCAUGGCCAACCUCGUGAAACCCCAUCUCUACUAAAAAUAAAAAAAAUUAGCCGGUUGUGGUGGUGCAUGCCUGUAAUCCCAGCUACUCUGGAGGCUGAGACAGGAGAAUCGCCUGACCCCGGAGGCGGAGGUAGCAUUGAGCCGAGAUUGCCCCACUGCACACCAGCCUGGGCGACAGAGUGAGACUCUGUCUAAAAAAAAAAAACAAACCGAAAAGAAAAAGAAAGAAAAAGAAACUUCCCAGAUUCUUCCCCACACAUGUUCUAGCCAACCCUCAUUAUAUCUCUGGGAGGUAGACUCGAUACCCUGAUUUUUGCAGAGGAGAAAACUAAGGCUGUAGGAGGUCCCAUGCAGGAGAGAGAAUGAGAUGAAAUAACAGCUGUGGGUGCAUUUUGUAAAAUAUAAAGCCCUGUCCAGAUUUGCGCAGAGUGAUUUCUCCACCCAGAGCUCACUCAUCUGUACUACACAGCAUCUACAGCAAGAACAGCCACAAAUUACUCUGUGGGGGAUGUAUUCUACUGCAACAAAUCUUUUUAUCACAGAGCCUUACUUUUUUCUUCCAAAGAGAUGAGACUGGCUUCUAAGGACACAUUAAACCCAUACAUCCUUUUUGUUUCUGGCAAGGUUUUAUGACUCACUUAGUUAAAGAGCCCUCAGAAAGUGGAGGCGACAGAUCUUCCUGCAGGCUGAAUGAGUCCUGGGUAGGACGCUUUUGUAAGAGGCCGGCUUUUGCUUUUGUAAGACGCCGGCUUUUGCUAGCCGGGUGCGGUGGCUCAUGCAUGUAAUCCCAGUACUUUGGGAGGCCGAAGCGGGUAGAUCCCCCAGCACUUUGGGAGGCCCAGAUGCGUAGAUCGCUUGAGGCCAGGAGUACGAAACCAGCCUGGCCAACAUGGUGAAACCCCCUACUAAAAAUACAAAAAUUAGUUAGGCGUGAUGGUGCAUGCCUGUAAUCUCAGCUACACGGGAGGCUGAGGCAGGAGAAUCAGUUGAACCUGGGAGGCAGAGGUUGCAGUGAGCUGAGAUUGGGUCACUACACUCCAGCCUGGGCAACAGAGUGAGACUCUGUCUCAGAAAAAACACCUGCUGUGUGCCAGCCACUGUGCUAGGCAUGUUCUCCCUACUUCAUUGAAGCCACAUAACAAUUCUGGGUGAAAGAUGUCAUUACCCCAAUUUACAGAUGAGGAAGAAGGGCCCAGGAGGUGAAAGGACUUGGACCCCACAGUAGGGAUUGGUUAGUGGGAAGGAACCAAAAGUCCCCUGUCUUGACUGGGCACAGCGGCUCAGCCUCUAAUCCCAGCACUUUGGGAGGCUGAGGCAGGAGUAUCACUUGAGCCCCGGAGUUCCAUACCACCCUGGGCAACACAGUGAGACCCCGUCUCUACAAAAAAAUAUUGAAAAUUCACUGGGCAUGGUGGCUUGUGCCUGUAGUCCCAGCUACUUGGAGGGCUGAGGUGGGAGGAUCACUUGAACCCGGGCAAUCGAGGCUGCAGUGAGAGCCAUGAUCGUGCCACUGCACUCCAACCUGGAUGACAGAGGAAGUCCCUGUCUCUGAAAAUGAAAAAGAAGAAGAAGAAAGUUCCCUGUCUUACUACCAUUUCUCAAAGGCUGCUGUGUCCAUGUGAACUGGCUCAGCUGGGAAAACACGAGUUGGUACAAAUGAGGUUUCCUGGAUAGAAGGUCGCUUAUGGACAUACAGGGAUGGGAAGGAGUAUUCCCUGGCCUGGAAGCCUCCUUCCUUCUCCUCUCCCAGGACAGGUGGUUCCUCUCCCUCAGCUUCUUUCUCUGCUCCGUUCUCCUGCCUCUCUCUACAGACCUGUUUUUUGUUUACCUUUGGCUUUUCUAUUCCCCCCAAACCUUCCUUGAUUUGGUAAAGGCUGCAGCCUGACUCCAGCCGCAGGACCCUUGGCCUGCAGAUUUAUCUUCCCCCAUCUUCUAUCCAGCCCAGCUCCCCAUGGUCACCAGUCUAAACUCCCAAGAGAGAAUCUGAUUGGCUCAUAUUGGGUCACAUGUCCUCCCUGGUCCAAUCAGCUGUAAUCAAAGGUGGUCUCUGAAACAGGCCGAGAUUGGUACGUAAGUCUCUCUGUCUGCUUUUCU
rnacentral:lncRNA from 1 species